AUUGAACGCUGGCGGCAGGCUUAACACAUGCAAGUCGAGCGGGGUGAUGGUGCUUGCACUAUCACUUAGCGGCGGACGGGUGAGUAAUGCUUAGGAAUCUGCCUAUUAGUGGGGGACAACAUCGCGAAAGGGAUGCUAAUACCGCAUACGUCCUACGGGAGAAAGCAGGGGAUCACUUGUGACCUUGCGCUAAUAGAUGAGCCUAAGUCGGAUUAGCUAGUUGGUGGGGUAAAGGCCUACCAAGGCGACGAUCUGUAGCGGGUCUGAGAGGAUGAUCCGCCACACUGGGACUGAGACACGGCCCAGACUCCUACGGGAGGCAGCAGUUGGGAAUAUUGGACAAUGGUGGGAACCCUGAUCCAGCCAUGCCGCGUGUGUGAAGAAGGCCUUAUGGUUGUAAAGCACUUUAAGCGAGGAGGAGGCUCUUUUGGUUAAUACCCAGAAUGAGUGGACGUUACUCGCAGAAUAAGCACCGGCUAACUCUGUGCCAGCAGCCGCAGUAA
rnacentral:rRNA from 1 species